AUUGAACGCUGGCGGCAGGCCUAACACAUGCAAGUCGAGCGAGCGGCGGACGGGUGAGUAAUGGCUGGGAAACUGCCUGAUGGAGGGGGAUAACUACUGGAAACGGUAGCUAAUACCGCAUACCAUCCGCUGUGCCCAGAUGGGAUUGGCUAGUAGGUGGGGUAACGGCUCACCUAGGCGACGAACCCUAGCUGGUCUGGGAGGAUGACCAGCCAAACGGGAACUGAGACAGGGGCCAGACUCCCACGGGGGGCAGGAGGGGGGAAUAUUGCACAAUGGGCGCAAGCCUGAUGCAGCCAUGCGGGGUGGGUGAAGAAGGCCGUCGGGUUGUAAAGCGAUUUCAGCGGGGAGGCGUUACCAGCAGAAGAAGCACCGGCUAACUCCGUGCCAGCGGCCGCGGUAAUC
rnacentral:rRNA from 1 species